rnacentral:rRNA from 1 species
CCCUACUCCUACGGGAGGCAGCAGUAGGGAAUCUUCCACAAUGGACGAAAGUCUGAUGGAGCAACGCCGCGUGAGUGAAGAAGGGUUUCGGCUCGUAAAACUCUGUUGUUAAAGAAGAACAUAUCUGAGAGUAACUGUUCAGGUAUGACGGUAUCACCAGAAGUCCACGGCUAACUACGUGCCAGCAGCCGCGGUAAU